rnacentral:rRNA from 1 species
CCUACGGGUGACAGCAGUGAGGAAUAUUGGUCAAUGGGCGCGAGCCUGAACCAGCCAAGUAGCGUGAAGGAUGACUGCCCUACGGGUUGUAAACUUCUUUUAUAAAGGAAUAAAGUGAGGCACGUGUGCCUUUUUGUAUGUACUUUAUGAAUAAGGCUCGGCUAACUCCGUGCCAGCAGCCGCGGUAAUACGGAGGAUCCGAGCGUUAUCCGGAUUUAUUGGGUUUAAAGGGAGCGUAGAUGGGUUGUUAAGUCAGUUGUGAAAGUUUGCGGCUCAACCGUAAAAUUGCAAUUGAUACUGGCAGUCUGGAGUACAGGAGAGGUGAGCGGAAUUCGGGGUGUAGCGGUGAAAUGCUUAGAUAUCACGAAGAACUCCGAUGGCGAAGGCAGCUCACUGGACUGCAACUGACACUGAGGCUCGAAAGUGUGGGGAGCAAACAGGAUUAGAUACCCGAGUAGUC